GACCGACGUAGCUCAGUUGGCAGAGCAUUCAGCAUUGGACUAGUAUCCCAAAGGUAGCGCGGGUCCUAUUCCCACCGUGGCCA